rnacentral:rRNA from 1 species
CAAAGGUUUGGUCCUAGCCUUGUCAUCAGUUACCUCUCGACUUACACAUGCAAGUCUCAGCACACCCGUGAGGACGCCCUUUCCACCUACCCCAGGUCUAGGAGCCGGUAUCAAGCACUACUUUCUUGCUCAUAACACCUAGUCCCACCACACCCCCAAGGGUAUUCAGCAGUGAUAAAUAUUGUAUAUAAGCGCUAGCUUGAUUCAGUCACAGAGAAGAGAGCCGGCCAACUUGGUGCCAGCCGCCGCGGCUAGACCAACUGGACUCAAAUUGAUGACCUCCGGCGUUAAGCGUGAUUAAAGCUAUAUUAAAUUAGAGUUAAACCUGCAUUUAGUAGUGAAAAGCUCGUGACAGGGAGACCCAGAAACGAAAGUACUCUAAUCCGCUUGAAUACACGACAGCUAGA